rnacentral:rRNA from 1 species
AUGUCCGAGGCCGAGGUGGUGGCGAAUGCGUGGAAAGAAUGGGGCCUCCAGGCGUUGGUGCUGCUCAGCUUCACAUUCCAGGUGGCCCUCCUCGUCUUGGCGGAGUUCCGCCGGUGCGUCGACUCGGGCGCUCUCAGGGCCUUGGUUUGGUCAGCAUACACGCUGGCCGAUGCGACGGCGAUCUACGUGCUCGGCCAUAUGUCGGUGAUCAGCAGGUCGCCGGAGCACGAGCUGAUGGCGUUUUGGGCGCCGUUCCUGCUUCUGCACCUCGGCGGGCAGGACAACAUCACCGCCUACGCCAUCGAGGACAACCUGCUGUGGCUGCGCCACCUGCAGACCCUCGCCGUGCAGGUCGCCGCAGCCACGUAUGUCAUGUAUGAGUCUUCGAUCCUUGGCCAGCGGUCCUUGCUCCGGCCGGCCACCGUCCUCGUGUUUGUGGUGGGGGUUAUCAAGUACGGGGAGAGAGUGUGGGCACUUAAGCGUGCAGGCACCAGUCCAGGGGGCAGCAACUACCGGAGCGUCGAAAGGCAUCAAGUGAAGCACAUGUUUAGUUACGAAGUCGUCACGGACGCUGCAGGUCGUGUUCUGGACACGGAGGCCUUGCUGCUCAUAGCUCACCAACUGCUGGAAGUUCCCAAGGAUCUAUUUUUGGAUGGGGCAGUGUCCACUGAAGGCCUUGGCACAGAUCUGACCAAGGAGAACGUGUACAAGGUGGCGGAGAUGCAGCUCUCCCUGAUGCACGACCUGUUCUACACCAAAGCAGGGGUGAUGCACACCUGGCAUGGCCUCUGCAUCCGUAUAAUCUCUCUGGUAGCCACCUCCACUGCGUUGUUGUUGUUGUUUCAGGUACUAGGUGGUGGUCAUAAGGGCAACUACAGUGCAUUAGAUGUUGCUGUCACUUAUGUCCUGUUAGUUGGGGCCGUCGUCCUGGAGAUCACGUCGGUGUCGAGGGUGAUGUUGUCGAGCGGAACAUGCGCGGUCCUGGCAGGAAGAAACAAAGCAUGGCACCUGCUGCUUGCCCGUGUAAUCUUGUCUCUGCGCCGGCUCAUCCAUGCAGCAGAUUGGCGAAGAAGGUGCAGCUGGUCGCGCUCCAUGGGGCAGCACAACAUGCUUCGGCUGUGUGCAUGCAGUACGGCCAGCCGAAGCAGCAAGAUGGCGAGAUGGAUGGGAGUCGAGGACCUGUGGAACUUGCUGGCUUACUCGUGGUCCGUCCCCGUCUCCUCGUCCAUCGAGCAGCUGAUUGUGAAGCAGCUGCUCGACAGGAGCUGGAGGUGGAGCCCAGAUCUGAUCAUCGUUGCACAGGCUUGGGAGUUGAUGAAGAAAUGGGAACUGGACCAAGAACUGGCCUGGACCGUGGAGGAGACCAUACUCGUCUGGCACAUUGCCACCGACCUCUAUCUCCGUUGGUACAAGGGGGAGGAGGUCACCGGCGGAGAGGACGACGCAGAGAGACGGCGCCGGGCGGAUCUUGCCGAGGCCGUCGAGGCGCUCUCCAAUUACAUGCUUUUCCUCCUCGCAUCACGUCCAUACAUGUUGCCUCCCUCUACCGACCGCAAUGCAUAUGUCCAGACGUGCUAUGCAUUGCUUCCGCCAGGUAAAGGAGACACAACAAGACAGCUCGCUCUGCCGGCUCUGGAGUACAGGUCGGCCGAGGUUCUGGCCAGCUCACUCCUGCGCAUUGGCAACGCAUUUAUCACUGGAUCGCCCGAGAUUUCAUUCCAAACUAGCACUGCGGUGACGGACAGAUAUGAUUCAUCAAUGGCGAUAAUAGGAGCAAGGCUUGGCGCAAAGCUCAUCGGCGAGGAUGGGUUGGCAGGCUCAGCUACCGGUGCCAUGCUAGAGCUCACCGCCCAAGUAUGGAUAGAGAUACUGUUCUACAUAGCCUGCCGAUGCAGCGCGUACUCUCAUGCCAAACAGCUCAGCAACGGCUCCGAGCUCAUCACCGUCGUUGCCCUUCUUGUGAGAUAUAUCACUUCUGGUGAAAUUCAUCACAAAGGAGGUGUCGUAAUCGAAUCACCGGCGAUGAGUGACCCUGCUCACUCUCUAGAUCGAUCUGAGCAUUCGAGUGACAAUGUUAGUGAAGGAAAUAUGCCC